GAUGAACGCUGGCGGCGUGCCUAAUACAUGCAAGUCGAGCGAACAGACGAGGAGCUUGCUCCUCUGACGUUAGCGGCGGACGGGUGAGUAACACGUGGAUAACCUACCUAUAAGACUGGGAUAACUUCGGGAAACCGGAGCUAAUACCGGAUAAUAUAUUGAACCGCAUGGUUCAAUAGUGAAAGACGGUUUUGCUGUCACUUAUAGAUGGAUCCGCGCCGCAUUAGCUAGUUGGUAAGGUAACGGCUUACCAAGGCGACGAUGCGUAGCCGACCUGAGAGGGUGAACCGCCAACAUGGAACUGAGACACCGUCCCGAAUCCCACGGGAGGCAGCAGUAGGGAAUCUUUCGCAAUGGGGGAAAGCCCGACGGAGCAACGGCGGGGGAGUGAUGAAGGUCUUUGGAUUGUAAAACCCUGUUAAUAGGGAAGAAAAAAUGUGUAAGUAACUAUGCAACUUUUGAAGGGAACCAAUCAGAAAGGCAAGGCUAACUACGUG
rnacentral:rRNA from 1 species